UACGUAGGCAGCAAGCGUUGUUCGGAGUUACUGGGCGUAAAGAGUGCGUAGGCGGUUUCGUAAGUUUGGUGUGAAAUCUCCCGGCUUAACUGGGAGGGUGCGCCGAAAACUGCGGGGCUGGAGUGUGGGAGAGGUAAGCGGAAUUCCUGGUGUAGCGGUGAAAUGCGUAGAUAUCAGGAGGAACACCGGCGGUGUAGACGGCUCACUGGCCCGAUACUGACGCUGAGGCACGAAAGCGUGGGGAGCAAACAGG
rnacentral:rRNA from 1 species